AAAAUGCAGCAGAUCAUUUUCAUAAUGAAGUAUAAAAUGUAUUACAUUUUGACGUUUUAUUACAUAACGCGCUGUUACAAGCAUGGAAAGAUUAACACUCGAUACACUGUUAGAGGCAAGAUUUGGAAGGCAAAUGAACGAGAUACGUGUUGAAAAGUUACACACAAAAAAAAAAACAUAACAGGAAGUUAACAUACUUUUUUUGUAUAUGCUGU